rnacentral:rRNA from 1 species
UACGAAGGGGGCUAGCGUUGCUCGGAAUGACUGGGCGUAAAGGGCGCGUAGGCGGAUCACGCAGUCAGAUGUGAAAUUCCUGGGCUUAACCUGGGGGCUGCAUUUGAGACGUGUGGUCUAGAGUGUGAAAGAGGGUCGUGGAAUUCCCAGUGUAGAGGUGAAAUUCGUAGAUAUUGGGAAGAACACCGGUGGCGAAGGCGGCGACCUGGUUCAUAACUGACGCUGAGGCGCGAAAGCGUGGGGAGCAAACAGG